UCCGAACCCCCCACCCGGGCCUUCUCCUUUAGCCUUCUGUAGGGGAAGGCACCGAGCAGGGCAGCUUGGGGCCAAGGGGGCACUGCCUGGUGGGUGCAGCUGUGGCAGAGGUGCAUGGCACCCCAUGCCAGAAUGAUGGGACCAGGCAAGGCCCAGGGUGUAGGAGGCCAUGAGGCACAGAAGUGAGGCCCGAGACCUGGCCUGUCGGGGGGAAGCUGCCCAAGCCCAAGCCUCAGCUGAGACCUGAGGGAGGACAAGUGUGGAGGCAGAGGGUGCUGCAGGCUGGAGCACGUCCCAUGCAGAGCCAGGCAGGCAACAGGCAGAGCGAGGGACAGGCGGCGGUGGGGCCUGGCCAUGGACCCCUUGCAGGGGACAUGGCACCUUUCCAGAGCCUGUGCCUACUGGGAAAGGGGGCGGGACCCAAUCCCACAGGGCGUCAGGGGGGUGUGGCAGAGGAGUUGGGGCAGGCGCAUCACACCUGGCUGCCAACCACAAGAUUCAACUUGGCCGGGGCAGACACGCUGUGUGGGAAAAUUAUCUUUUUUAUUUCAAAGCAAGGAAAUGUUGAACACAAACACGAAAUUCCAAAGAGUGACCCUCUGGGGUGAGUGGGGUGGGGGCAGAGCAGGGGCAGAAUGGAGACAGGACCCCUACGCUGAUGCAGGUUUGGGGGAUGUUUUAAUUCUUGGGCUGGAUAGUAGAUGCACGGGUGUUUGUUAAAUUUCCAAUAGAUGAGUGAAUGAGUAAAUGAAGGAGUAAGUGAGAGGCCUGCGGAAAGCAAACCAGCAAAUAUCAAACCGGCGCCCCUCUGAGCCCGGCUCCGUCCCUCUCGGGUGAUUCUGGUGUCCCUGCUGGAAGUGAGGCCUGCAGCCAGUACCCCAUGGGGCUGUCCCCCAGCUCUGCAUUCUAGAAAGGCCUCAGCAGGGUGGAGCACAGCGGAAGUCACCGCUGGGUUGGGGGGUGAGGAAUGGAGACGUGGAAGGGGCCGGGUCCCCAGGACUUGUUGGCUGAGGGACAUGAGGAAGGCAGGCACCUUGCUGGGGGCACGGGUGGGCAGAGACUGUUCUCCAGGGCAGGAGCCGUGAGAAAGUGGCCUUGGGAGGAGGUGAGGCACUCACUUUGGGGCUGCUGGGUUUGGGGGCCCUGUGGAAAUUCCGAGGGGAGACCUGGCCCAGGCAGCUGGAGCAGGGGCUGGGCUGGAGAUGUGGAUGUGGGUGUCCUGGGUGGUGAGCCGAUGGGCAGAGGUGCCUAAGGCCAGGGCGAGAGGAGACGAGGGGGAGGGUAGGGACAGCCAGGGCAGCCGGGGCAGGCACCAUGAGCCCCAGGGGAGUCCCGGAAGAGGAGGGGGACAGGCCCAGGGCAGGGGUUGUGGGCAGCCCUGUGCGUGGCUCUGGAGGUCGGGGAGGACAUGGCCUCUGAAGUCCCAGGAGGCCGUGGUGACGCAGAGGGCCUGCCCUGUGCCCCCGCUGAUGGGAGCGGCCAUCAGGACACAGACCGGCAGACAAGAUAACAAGCAGUGUCCGCGAGUCAGCCCGACUCUCCCCCAGCCCCAGCAAGGCCUGGCUCGGCGCCCUGGACCACCCAGCUGCUGAAUAUCACACCAGGACCACCAAG
rnacentral:lncRNA from 1 species